rnacentral:rRNA from 1 species
UACGUAGGGUGCGAGCGUUAAUCGGAAUUACUGGGCGUAAAGAGUGCGUAGGCGGUUCGUUAUGUCUGCUGUGAAAGCCCCGGGCUUAACCCGGGAAUGGCAGUGGAAACUGGCGGGCUUGAGUGUGGCAGAGGGGGGUGGAAUUCCGCGUGUAGCAGUGAAAUGCGUAGAGAUGCGGAGGAACACCGAUGGCGAAGGCAAUCCCCUGGGCCUGCACUGACGCUCAUGCACGAAAGCGUGGGGAGCAAACAGG